CCCCCCAGACAGUCACACAAGAGGUGUGUGUCCCCCCAGACAGUCACACAAGAGGUGUGUGUCCCCCCCAGAGACAGUCACACAAGAGGUGUGUGUCCCCCAGACAGUCACACAAGAGGUGUG